rnacentral:rRNA from 1 species
AACGAACGCUGGCGGCAGGCCUAACACAUGCAAGUCGAACGCUGCAGCAAUGCAGAGUGGCAGACGGGUGAGUAACGCGUGGGAACCUUCCCAAUGGUACGGAAUAGCCCAGGGAAACUUGGGGUAAUACCGUAUAAGCCCCAUGGGGGGAAGAUUUAUCGCCAUUGGAUGGGCCCGCGUCGGAUUAGCUAGUUGGUGAGGUAACGGCUCACCAAGGCGACGAUCCGUAGCUGGUUUGAGAGAAUGACCAGCCACACUGGGACCGAGACACGGCCCAGACUCCUACGGGAGGCAGCAGUGGGGAAUCUUGGACAAUGGGCGAAAGCCUGAUCCAGCCAUGCCGCGUGAGUGACGAAGGCCUUAGGGUUGUAAAGCUCUUUUGGCGGGGACGAUAAUGACGGUACCCGCAGAAUAAGUCCCGGCUAACUUCGUGCCAGCCGCCGCGGUAA